UUCAUCAAGACCCUUGCAACUAUGGUCGACUGGCGGGCUAAAAAUGCAUGCUGAUGGUUUAGACAGAGAUUCAUGUAUUAGAUUGUUUAUAUAAUUGAAAUAUGCACAAAGAAAUUAAAUUUGUGAAACUCGUAUCAAAAGCAUUGUAAAAACUUACCUCAUCAACUACGAUUUCAUCGUCAGAAUCGCGAUAACGAUAAUCAGGCGUACUCUGUCCUUCCUGAUAGAGGAGAGUGACAGUGACACAUCGUUCCGCCUCCAUUAUUUUCCAACAGAACACAACUAUAAACAAAAUUUCAAAGAUUGUAAACCCUAAUUCAAUUAUUGUAAACCCUAAUCACACAAAAUUUCAUAACAGAUUGAAAAAAUAAUGAAAAUACCUUAGCAAAGCAACGAUCAAGAAUAUGGAGAACGAUAAAGUGGUUAAAAAACGAACUCUGAAGAAGGAAGAAAACGCGCGAUGAUGAUUUAUCA
rnacentral:lncRNA from 1 species